rnacentral:rRNA from 1 species
UACGAAGGGGGCAAGCGUUACUCGGAAUUACUGGGCGUAAAGCGUGCGUAGGCGGCGAGUUAAGUCUGAUGUGAAAUCCCCGGGCUCAACCUGGGAAUGGCAUUGGAUACUGGCUGGCUGGAGUGCGGUAGAGGGCGGUGGAAUUCCCGGUGUAGCGGUGAAAUGCGUAGAGAUCGGGAGGAACAUCUGUGGCGAAGGCGGCCACCUGGACCAGCACUGACGCUGAGGCACGAAAGCGUGGGGAGCAAACAGG